rnacentral:rRNA from 1 species
GCGAUCAUACCAGCACUAAUGCACCGGAUCCCAUCAGAACUCAGAAGUUAAGCGUGCUUGGGCGAGAGCAGUACUAGGAUGGGUGACCCCCUGGGAAGUCCUCGUGUUGCACCU